CAACAGGGAUUGCCCUAGUAACGGCGAGUGAAGCGGCAACAGCUCAAAUUUGAAAUCUGGCUCUUUUAGAGUCCGAGUUGUAAUUUGCAGAGAGCGCUUUGGCGUUGGCAGCGGUCCAAGUUCCUUGGAACAGGACGUCACAGAGGGUGAGAAUCCCGUACGUGGUCGCUAACCUUCGCCGUGUAAAGCCUCUUCGACGAGUCGAGUUGUUUGGGAAUGCAGCUCUAAAUGGGAGGUAAAUUUCUUCUAAAGCUAAAUACUGGCCAGAGACCGAUAGCGCACAAGUAGAGUGAUCGAAAGAUGAAAAGCACUUUGGAAAGAGAGUCAAACAGCACGUGAAAUUGUUGAAAGGGAAGCGCUUGCAGCCAGACUUGCCCGCAGUUGCUCAUCCGAACUUUUGUUCGGUGCACUCUUCUGCGGGCAGGCCAGCAUCAGUUUGGGCGGUUGGAUAAAGGUCUCUGUCAUGUACCUCCUCUCGGGGAGGCCUUAUAGGGGAGACGACAUGCAACCAGCCUGGACUGAGGUCCGCGCAUCUGCUAGGAUGCUGGCGUAAUGGCUGUAAGCGGCCCGUCUUGAAACACGGACCAAGGAGUCUAACAUCUAUGCGAGUGUUUGGGUGUCAAGCCCGAGCGCGUAAUGAAAGUGAACGGAGGUGGGAACCCUUAAGGGUGCACCAUCGACCGAUCCUGAUGUCUUCGGAUGGAUUUGAGUAAGAGCAUGGCUGUUGGGACCCGAAAGAUGGUGAACUAUGCUUGAAUAGGGUGAAGCCAGAGGAAACUCUGGUGGAGGCUCGCAGCGGUUCUGACGUGCAAAUCGAUCGUCAAAUUUGGGCAUAGGGGCGAAAGACUAAUCGAAC
rnacentral:rRNA from 1 species